rnacentral:rRNA from 1 species
GAUGAACGCUGGCGGCGUGCCUAAUACAUGCAAGUCGAGCGAACGGACGAGAAGCUUGCUUCUCUGAUGUUAGCGGCGGACGGGUGAGUAACACGUGGAUAACCUACCUAUAAGACUGGGAUAACUUCGGGAAACCGGAGCUAAUACCGGAUAAUAUUUUGAACCGCAUGGUUCAAAAGUGAAAGACGGUCUUGCUGUCACUUAUAGAUGGAUCCGCGCUGCAUUAGCUAGUUGGUAAGGUAACGGCUUACCAAGGCAACGAUGCAUAGCCGACCUGAGAGGGUGAUCGGCCACACUGGAACUGAGACACGGUCCAGACUCCUACGGGAGGCAGCAGUAGGGACUCUUCCGCAAUGGGCGAAAGCCUGACGUAGCAACGCCGCGUGAGUGAUGAAGGUCCUCGGAUCGUAAAACUCUGUUAUUAGGGAAGAACAUAUGUGUAAGUAACUGUGCACAUCUUGACGGUACCUAAUCAGAAAGCCACGGCUAACUACGUG